rnacentral:rRNA from 1 species
GACGAAGGGGGCUAGCGUUGUUCGGAAUUACUGGGCAUAAAGCGAGUGUAGGUGGUUGUCCAAGUUGGAUGUGAAAGCCUUGAGCUCAACUCAAGAAAUGCAUUCAGGACUGGAUGACUAGAGGACCGGAGAGGAUAGUGGAAUUCCCAGUGUAGUGGUGAAAUACGUAGAGAUUGGGAAGAACACCAGUGGCGAAGGCGGCUAUCUGGACGGUUUCUGACACUAAGACUCGAAAGCGUGGGGAGCAAACAGG